GAGUUUGAUCAUGGCUCAGAUUGAACGCUGGCGGCAUGCCUUACACAUGCAAGUCGAACGGCAGCACGGGAGCUUGCUCCUGGUGGCGAGUGGCGAACCGGGUGAGUAAUGCAUCGGAACGUAUCCUGGAGUGGGGGAUAACGUAGCGAAAGUUACACUAAUACCGCAUAUUCUGUGAGCAGGAAAGCGGGGGACCUUCGGGCCUCGCGCUCUUGGAGCGGCCGAUGUCGGAUUAGCUAGUUGGUGAGGUAAAGGCUCACCAAGGCGACGAUCCGUAGCAGGUCUGAGAGGAUGAUCUGCCACACUGGAACUGAGACACGGUCCAGACCUCCUACGGGAGGCAGCAGUGGGGAAUUUUGGACAAUGGGGGCAACCCUGAUCCAGCCAUGCCGCGUGAGUGAAGAAGGACC
rnacentral:rRNA from 1 species